GCCCAUCCACGCUCGGUGCUUACUCAGUCCCGAUGCGGAUCGUGGCCCUCCGAGCCCGAGCGGCACGAUGGGCCUAAGUGUGCGGCCGCCGGGAGGAGCCGAAAGCGGCGAGUGGUGGAACACUGCGUACGCCGCCCCGUGCCCCUUGUCGGCAGACGGCCUUGACCGACCCUCGAACGAGGAGCCGUGCUUGCCAAGGCGCGGCCCUUUCGGAUC
rnacentral:misc_RNA from 1 species